rnacentral:rRNA from 1 species
AGCCAGACUCCUACGGGAGGCAGCAGUGGGGAAUAUUGCACAAUGGGGGAAACCCUGAUGCAGCGACGCCGCGUGAGUGAAGAAGUAUUUCGGUAUGUAAAGCUCUAUCAGCAGGGAAGAAAAUGACGGUACCUGACUAAGAAGCCCCGGCUAACUACGUGCCAGCAGCCGCGGUAAUACGUAGGGGGCAAGCGUUAUCCGGAUUUACUGGGUGUAAAGGGAGCGUAGACGGCAUGGCAAGUCAGAUGUGAAAGCCCGGGGCUCAACCCCGGGACUGCAUUUGAAACUGUCAGGCUGGAGUGCAGGAGAGGUAAGUGGAAUUCCUAGUGUAGCGGUGAAAUGCGUAGAUAUUAGGAGGAACACCAGUGGCGAAGGCGGCUUACUGGACUGUAACUGACGUUGAGGCUCGAAAGCGUGGGGAGCAAACAGGAUUAGAUACCCCCGUAC